rnacentral:rRNA from 1 species
CAGCAGCCGCGGUAAUACGAAGGGUGCAAGCGUUAAUCGGAAUUACUGGGCGUAAAGCGUGCGUAGGCGGUUUGUUAAGUCUGUUGUGAAAUCCCCGGGCUCAACCUGGGAGUGGCAAUGGAUACUGGCAAGCUAGAGUGUGCCAGAGGAUGGUGGAAUUCCCGGUGUAGCGGUGAAAUGCGUAGAGAUCGGGAGGAACAUCAGUGGCGAAGGCGGCCAUCUGGGACAACACUGACGCUGAGGCACGAAAGCGUGGGGAGCAAACAGGAUUAGAUACCCCCGUAGUCCCUGUCUCUUAUAC